ensembl:snRNA U6 U6 spliceosomal RNA
UUGCUUCAGCAGCAAAUAGAGUAAAAUUGGAAGGAUACAGAGAAGAUUAGCAUGUCCCCUGCACAGGAUGGCACACAAAUUUGUGAAGUGUCCAUAUUUUUA